rnacentral:ncRNA from 1 species
CAAAAGCUUGGUCCUGACUUUACUAACAACUCUGAUCAAACUUACACAUGCAAGUAUCCGCAGCCCAGUGAAAAUGCCCCCCGCCCCCCGCCCGGGAAUCGGGAGUUGGUAUCAGGCACACACAUUUGUAGCCCACGACACCUAGCUUUGCCACACCCUCAAGGGAAUUCAGCAGUGAUAAACAUUAAGCCAUAAGUGAAAACUUGACUUAGUCAUGAUCUAAAGAGUCGGUAAAACUCGUGCCAGCCACCGCGGUUAUACGAGAGACCCAGGUUGUUAGCCAACGGCGUAAAGGGUGGUUAGAAGCACAAGCAAUAAACUGAGGCCGAACGCCUUCAAGGCUGUCAUACGCUUCCGAAGCAACGAAGAACAAUAACGAAAGUAGCCUCACUAACUUGAACCCACGAAAGCUAGGACACAAACUGGGAUUAGAUACCCCACUAUGCCUACCCCUAAACAUGAUAUAGAAUUACAUUUAUAUCCGCCUGGUUACUACGAGCAUUAGCUUAAAACCCAAAGGACUUGGCGGUGCUUUAAAACCAUCUAGAGGAGCCUGUUUUAAAACCGAUACUCCCCGUUCAACCUCACCCCUCCUUGUUUUAACCGCCUAUAUACCACCGUCGUCAGCCUACCCUGUGAAGGGCAAAUAGUAGACAAAAUUGGCACAGCCAAAAACGUCAGGUCGAGGUGUAGCGUAUGGAGGGGGACAAAAUGGGCUACAUUCUCUACCUAGAGAACACGAAAGAUGUGCUGAAACGCACACCCGAAGGAGGAUUUAGCAGUAAGCAAGAAAAAAGAGUGUCAUGCUGAAACCGGCUAUGAAGCGCGCACACACCGCCCGUCACUCUCCCCAAACUCUUAGCCUAUCAAUAACUAAUAAACUACCUAAAGAAAAGGGGAGGCAAGUCGUAACAUGGUAAGUGUACCGGAAGGUGCACUUGGAAUAAU